UACGUAGGGGGCAAGCGUUGUCCGGAAUCAUUGGGCGUAAAGCGCGUGUAGGCGGCUUGGUAAGUCCGCUGUGAAAGCCCGGGGCUCAACCCCGGGAGGCGGGUGGAUACUGUCAAGCUCGAGUCCGGAAGAGGCGAGUGGAAUUCCUGGUGUAGCGGUGAAAUGCGCAGAUAUCAGGAGGAACACCAAUGGCGAAGGCAGCUCGCUGGGACGUGACUGACGCUGAGACGCGAAAGCGUGGGGAGCAAACAGG
rnacentral:rRNA from 1 species